rnacentral:rRNA from 1 species
UGGGGAAUCUUGGACAAUGGGGGCAACCCUGAUCCAGCCAUGCCGCGUGAGUGAUGAAGGCCUUAGGGUCGUAAAGCUCUUUCGCCUGUGAAGAUAAUGACGGUAGCAGGUAAAGAAACCCCGGCUAACUCCGUGCCAGCAGCCGCGGUAAUACGGAGGGGGUUAGCGUUGUUCGGAAUUACUGGGCGUAAAGCGCACGUAGGCGGACCAGAAAGUUGGGGGUGAAAUCCCGGGGGCUCAACCCCGGAACUGCCUCCAAAACUAUUGGUCUAGAGUUCGAGAGAGGUGAGUGGAAUUCCAAGUGUAGAGGUGAAAUUCGUAGAUAUUUGGAGGAACACCAGUGGCGAAGGCGGCUCACUGGCUCGAUACUGACGCUGAGGUGCGAAAGUGUGGGGAGCAAACAGGAUUAGAUACCCCUGGUAGUCCACACCGUAAAACGAUGAAUGCCAGUCGUCGGGUAGCAUGCUAUUCGGUGACACACCUAACGGAUUAAGCAUUCCGCCUGGGGAGUACGGUCGCAAGAUUAAAACUCAAAUGAAUUG